UCUCUGUCUCUCGUUCUCUCUCUAAACUUCUCAUUGAUUUUUUAAGAUAUCUUGAGUUCUAGAGCUCAGACUAAGGCAGGGUAAGAAUCAUAGUGAUUACGAAGAAGUCUAGAAGCUUUUAAGCAUAACUUUCAAUUGGCAAACAGUUUUAUCAUAGAUCAUUUAAGGUUUUAAAUUUUGAGAUUUUUGGUUUUGAGAUUUUAGAAUUUUCAUUGAAUUUUGAGUUUGGUUGAUGUUUUGUUAAGUUUAAGGGUUGGGUUUUGAUGUUUGUGAGUUGUUGAUACCAUUUAUGUGGUUGAAUUGUAAUAAAACCGUGUUUUGGAACAAUUUUGGGGAGUUUAGAAAUUUGGAAAACGCUGGAGUUCUGGGUUCGUGGGGUCGCGCCGCGACACUGUUCUUGGGGCGUCACGACCCACAUGAACUCAGAGGCGCUGGGGUUCUUCUAAACCGCCUUGGUGCCACAGCGCAUGCACUGUGCCUUUGUGGCUCGGGGCUCUCUUCCUAGAGGCGCGCCAUGACUCCUUUAGGGGCGGGUCGCGGCUCAAAUUGGGCAAAGUGGCCAAAUGAGGUUUUGAGUUGCGUUAACUCAAACUUAAGGGCUUAGGAAGGACUCUACUACCCGAUUUAGUAGAAUUCAAGGUCUCGGAGGCUAGGACUCGAUCCGGAAGCCUUUAUUCGCUCGUUAUUGAUGGUUAUUCAUUGUUAUGGUUUUGACUAGGGUUACCGAUCGACUUCGGAAGAAAGGGGUCAUGCCUGGGGUCGUAAUAUGUGCCUUGUUAAGGACCAGACGUAAGAAAACCGAUAUAUGCACAUAGAGCACUUGAUUUGUAUGCUUAUUAGCUUUGAAUCAUUUGUGAAUAUAUGAUUUAAACUGAUUUUCGGCCAUCGUGUUAAAUGAGGGGUUGUCGGCUAUCGCAUUGAUGUUGGGCCAUUAGGCAAUGCGUGUGGAACGCAGGUCGUAAAGGAGAUUCUUGGAUAAGGGUGCAGUGUCUAAUCACCCAACAAGAACUGCAAGUUGAAUGCUUGAGUACGCAUGUCGCUCGGUUGAUCCACUCGGCAGUGCGUGUGGAACACAAGUCGUGAAGGCGAGUCUUGAAUAAGGGUGUAGUCCCUACUCGCCCGGCAAGAACCGCGAGCUAAAUGCCUGAGUACGCAUGUUGCUUGGUUGGGCCGCUCAGCAAGGCAUGUGGAACACAGGCCGAAAGGCAAGCGUAAUCCGAGGGUGUGGUCCCCACUUGCUCAACAUGAGCCGAGAGUUGAGCGCCUAAGUACACACUCACUCGACUGGGUUGUUCAGCAAGAUUGUUUCCUAGACGGUGUGACUGAGAACAAGUAAAAUAUGAGAGUGUCGUCCACAUUACUCGGCAUGAACCGCAGGCUGGGUGCCUGAGUAUACACCUCGGUCAGUUAGGCCGCUUGGCAGGACUAAUCUCCUAGGCUGAUUAAUUGAAUGUAAGGGCAAGAAUAAGCUGGACUAAUCAUGAGUUGGAGAGCUUGAAGGGCGACGUGUACAUAUGCAGCAUGCUCGACCGCCACAGCCAAGAUUACUUGGGAGGAAUUAGGGGUUGAACCCUGUUUUGUCGCCUAGGGCGACUAUUUUGUAAUGUGUUGGUCUUUUGUCUAUUUAUAAACUAUUUUCUGGGAGUCCAUGUUUAUGUUAAACUCUUUUAAUGAAAAGUAAUACUCUUUUAGCCAAAAUUUUAAUACCUAACUUUUGAGUUAGUUUAAUUACACUUUCUAAAUCCAAAUGAAUCGUUUAGCGAGUUAAACAUUAUUUCAAACACACAGUGUAACGGUUCUGGAUUAGUAGGGCAUUACACAAGCAUUCUUAAAAAAAUGUUUAGCGAACCGUACUAGCAACCAUUCAUUAAAUAUUUUACA